rnacentral:rRNA from 1 species
UACAGAGACUGCAAGCGUUAUUCGGAUUCACUGGGCGUAAAGGGUGCGCAGGCGGCCAUGUGUGUGAGGCGUGAAGCCCGAGCUUAACUUCGGAAUUGCACUCAAACUACAUGGCUAGAGCAUUGGAGAGGGUAGCGGAAUUCAACGGUGUAGCAGUGAAAUGCGUAGAUAUCGUGAGGAACACCAGAGGCGAAAGGCGGCUAC